AGUGGAGUCCUCCACGAUCCCAUCAUGCUUUUCGUGACGGAUGACGUGUCUGAGCGGAAUCGGAUGCUGCUACGCAGGCAGCAGCUCCGCUAAAAUAAAAAAUGGUUCUAAGGAUCCAAAGGCAGGACACGCUGGGUCAGCAGUAUAUAUUCCAAAGAAUGGGGUAAUAUGUCAGGAAAGAAUAACAGAUAAUUUAUCAGUAUACACAACAGAGCUGGUUGCAAUUUUGUUGGCCUUGGAAUGGGUAGAGGGAAAUUAGUUAAAUAACUCAGUGAUUAUAUCUGAUAGUUAUUCAGCUUUAGAAAGCAUAAAAAAUGGGAAAUCUAUAAGAUAUGAUAUAAUUCAUAACAUUUUUAUGGUUUUGCAUAAGUUAAAUGCAAAGGAUUUUAAAAUCAGGUUUCUCUGGGUACCUGCACAUGUUGGAGUGAAAGGGAAUGAGGAGGUUGAUAAACUUGCAAAACAAACACUGAAACACAAUAGAAUAUUACAAGUUCCAUAUAGUAAAUCUGAAGCUAAAA